GGAGAGGUGGCUGAGCGGCCGAAAGCACCACACUGCUAACGUGGCAAGCCCGUUAAACGGCUUCGCGGGUUCAAAUCCCGCCCUCUCCG
rnacentral:tRNA from 1 species